GCCCGGCAGGGCCCUGGGAUAAAGCCGCUGCUUCCCACAGGCUGGCUGCCCUCACUGCACCCCGUCCUCACGUUCACGCUGUCAGGCCUCUUGGUGGUGCGCUGCUCCAGAGAGGAGCGCCUGCUCCGGCGUCAGAGGGGCGGUGGGGCCGGCAGGGGAUGGGUCCUGAGCAGCGGCCAGGCCCUUGCGCUCGCUCCUGGGGAUCGUGCUAACGACAUGUCCUCAUCGGACCCUUUCACAGCCGGGAGCGAGGCGGAGACGCUGGUGACGUCGAGGGGAGAGGGGACCUGACCCCACACCCUCCCGACUCCAUCGGGGUGGGGGGGGCCCGCCCUCUGCCGGGCAGGGCGCUGCUCAGGGCUCUGCCUGCCCCGAAAAGCUUUCCGUCCACAAGAUCAGCCAGGGCGAUCCGUGAGCUGCUUCAGGUAGCGAAGCCCCCGGUGUGAAGGCGGGGCACCUCUUCUCCCCAUGAAUUUGGGGGAAAGAAAAAGAGCUUGUACACAAAUGCUGUCAUCUCGAAAUUUUCAUUUUCCCAUAAAAACUGAUGCCUCCUUCUGAAAAGAGAGCAACAAACUACAGCUCUUUAAAAAUGUAUUUUUAAGGCCAUGAAUCUCAACCCUUUCUCCCCAUCAGCCUUGACCGGCAUCUCCUCAUCACGUCACAGCUCUGCGAUCUUACUGGGGUGAGAUGUCCGGAGCCCCUCAAGGACCCUGGGGGCAGAAAAGUCAGUCUGUCCCGCUGCCUGGCGACGUGCCCUGUGCCUGGACCAUCCACACAAAUGGCACUGUUAAUGCCAACGCCCUGUCUCCUCCCGGCCGUCCUUCCUGGACGAAGCUCCUCCGUGACCCCCCGGGCUGCUUAUGGAACCGCGUGUUUUGGGUCGGUCUCUGGCAGGGAACCCGGCCCCGUGGAAACACUGGGACACACGUAGAGCAGGAGCUUGUCUAGGAAAGGACCCGAGAGCAAAACCUAUAGCCCAGCGGUUUUGCCAGGACCUGUGUCCAGGCGACCUGCAGACCCAGGGAACAAGGCCACAGCCUCCACAGGCAGACGACACGCCGAAACCCAAGAGAAAAGGAGAAACUUCCAUUUUAAUACAGAAGUGGGCCUGUGCCUGACAACUCCAGCUGCGGAAUCACACACAACAGACCGGAGUGCGGUAUUUACUAAAAUGCAAUUUAAGAUUACAGAGCAUUCUGAAUACAAAAAUAGGACUUUUCAUUAAAAAAGAGGACAUGAGAAGACCUGGGUGUGUCCACCAAAUGAUAGAAAAGUAUAAAACGGAGCUGCAUCUGGAUACGCUUCCAUGAGCCACAGGGUCCUCGAACCUCACAGGAAGCGUGAUACUGAAUUUUUUAAACUUUUAAACAAUGCAACUGAUCUCCUUCUCAAGCAAGAUGCCCUUGAAAGGAGGCUCGGUGAGCAGUUCCACGUGGCGGUGCUUCUGAAGUGACAGGGGCUGCCGGCUCUGGCGUGGAGGACGGCGGAGACCCACGGCUGGGGACAGCGGCUGCCCUGUGGACGGGGGCACCCACACGCCUCCAGGGGGGGUGACAUCCGCUAGCACAGAGGGUCCAAAACCACAGAUGGAAUCUUCCUUUUCAACCUGCGUCUUCUACCGAUUCUCGGUGUGGUUAAAGUGUCCCUGCAGUGACGAAACAGCACAUCGUGGAAUUAAUUGACCUUGGCUUGGCGUUCACGACACAAAGCACCGAACUGCAAACGACUGAGCUGAUGCUUACUUUCAGGGUAAGUACAUACUUACAGAAUCUACAUAAAAACAUUAUAAUUAAGAUAUUUAAAGCACUCCCUACAGUGCCUGGCAUGUGGAAUGUUUUUAAUAAAUAUUACUUCCUUUCUCUCCGACAGUUCUAUGGGGGCACAGGGAAGAGAAUGAAAACAUUGUUUAUAUAUUUAUGCACAGAAGUUUUUAAAACGAUGUUGUCCCAAUACAUGGGUUCGACCCAGAGGCACUGCUGCAGGCUCGCUGCCGGUGGCCCUGCCCUGCCUCCCUGCCUCCCCGAGUCCCACCCUGGCCUCCAGGAGCCGACCUCCUGUCUCCUCACCUCCACCCGCAGAAGUAGCUGGAAGAACCAGACGGCCGGGGGCACCCUGGUGAGACUCGGUGCCACCAUGAAACGAGGUCCUGUCCGGCAUCUGGAAACCUCUACCACACCUGUCACCACCCAGCCAAUAGCAGUGUGGCUCCACGGCCCCUCCCUGCUCUCCGAGGCCACGCGUGGUGGUGGCGGUGGUAGUCGGCAGGCUCCCUGGGCAGCUGAGGCCAGGAAGGGAGCGGUGGGCCAGGCAGUGGGUGGGCAAAGCAGGCUGGUCCAAGGGGGCCACACACGAGGAAGAGGACCGAGAUCUAGCAUCUUCCCACAAAUGAACCUGAAAGCACUGGCACCUUCCACUCAGGCGCUUUUCCCUGGCACGACUUCGAGUUCCCCUACACUUAUGCUCACUCCUCCCUCCCGCAGCCCCCUCUCGAAGCUCGGACCCCAGAGUCAGCCGAAAAGGACCCACCCCAUGCGAUGCAGAAGUGAGGUCUGAGGCCCGAGGGCAGGGACCAGCCGCUGGAGGCAAGUCUGCUGGGGGCUGUGUGGGCACGGAGCCCCCGACCUGAUAAAGCCAUCAAGGAAGAGGUCAGUGGUGCCUGCCAUGCAGUCGUACUGCUGAUAAUUAAUGCGCCUGUUGCCUGUCCAGAUGGGCUUGCAAAGCAGUAUUAAAAGCAAGAGUGGGGAGUUCCCGUCAUGGCGCAGUGGUUAACGAAUACGACUAGGAACCAUGAGGUGGCGGGUUCGAUCCCUGCCCUUUCUCAGUGGGUUAACGAUCUGGCGUUGCCGUGAGCUGUGGUGUAGGUCACAGAUGCAGCUCGGGUCCUGCACUGCUGUGGCUGUGGUGUAGGCCGGCGGCUACAGCUCCGAUUCGACCCCUAGCCUGGGAACCUCCAUAAGCCAUGGGUGCAGCCCUAGAAAAGAACAUUAAAUGAAUGAAUGAAUGAAUGAAUAAGUAAAUAAAUAAAUAAAUAAAUAAAUAAAGGACAUUAGACUGUAACUCAAAUCCACAUGAAGAAAUAAGCCAAUAGGGUCCUUUUCCUAAUUACUACCAAUGAGUAAGAAUUUAUCUACGUCCCCUGCUCCAUCCAAGCUCACUUCAAUAGCAGGCCUUUGCUUGGGAGGGACCCCUCUGGCUACACCUCUCCAUGGGGUAAGGAGUCCACAGGGCCAAUGGGAUGUUUCCGCCCAAAGGCCCUGUCCCCUUCUAGAGCCCGUCUCCUGGCUGGACCAGGCUCUCUCACAGGGGCACUCUCCUGAGCUCAGCACACAUCACUGCAUUUCAGCGGUUCCUCCAAGGUCCCUGGGGUCUGCUGCUGCUAGUGGGAGGUCUGCCGUCCGUCACAUCACUGUUCCCUCAUGGAAACGAGGCCUUUCUCUCCAGGAUUCUGCCUCGAAUGUCCUUCAGUUUCACCAUGACCACGACGGAUGUGCAGCUAUGUCACACGCUAGACUCACUGUG
ensembl:lncRNA